rnacentral:rRNA from 1 species
AGAAUCAACGCUGGCGGCGUGCCUAACACAUGCAAGUCGCACGAGAAAGGGUAGCAAUACCUGAGUAAAGUGGCGCACGGGUGAGUAACACGUGAAUGAUCUACCUCCGAGUGGGGAAUAACUGAGAGAAAUCUUAGCUAAUACCGCAUAAUACCCACGGGUCAAAGCAGCAAUGCGCUUGGAGAGGAGUUCGCGGCCGAUUAGUUAGUUGGCGGGGUAAUGGCCCACCAAGACGAUGAUCGGUAUCCGGCCUGAGAGGGCGCACGGACACACUGGAACUGAAACACGGUCCAGACUCCUACGGGAGGCAGCAGUGGGGAAUUUUGCGCAAUGGGGGAAACCCUGACGCAGCAACGCCGCGUGGAGGAUGAAGCCCCUUGGGGUGUAAACUCCUUUCGAUCGGGAAGAUAAUGAUGGUACCGAUAUAAGAAGCCCCGGCUAACUUCGUGCCAGCAGCCGC